GUAAUUUUGCUCAUUUUUCGUCAUUAGUUAAUUCUGAUAGGCAGCUUCUACAGGUAGAUAGCUGUCAGUUAUAGGUGUAAUGUUAUUCUGUCAUUUUAUCUCGAAAUCUGUUUUAAGCUUGUUUCUUCUUCCUCCUGGGUUGUCGUUCUCGGAUUCUUCUCUUCGUUUUCUUCUUCUCUUCUGUUUUUUUUUAAUUUGUUCUUGGUUUAUUUUUUUCAUUCUAUGUUUACUCGAUUUUGGAUUUGUUCUCCGAUAUCUUCUGGGUUUUUUCAUCCUUUUGGGUUUGUUCCGAUUUGUUUUCCGAUUGGGUUUCUCCGAUUUCCUGGUUGUUCGUCUUCGUUCUGAGAUUCAUGCCUUUUAUCUUGAGUUUCUGUUUUUUUUCUUCUAUUCUUUGUAUUUGAUGCGGUUUUCUUUUUCCUGGCUUUCUUCGGCCUGGCUUUUGGCUGCUACUGGUUUUCUUUUUCCUGAGAUUUCUUCAUCUGCUUUCGUUUUUGUUACUUUUCUAUUAGUUUUUCUUUUUUUUUUUUUUGGAUUUGUUCUUCGUUUUUCUUUUCAUUCUAUAUUUACUCGAUUUUGGAUUAGUUCUCCGAUUCCUUCUGGGUUUAUUCAUCCUUUUGAGUUUCCGAUUCUUUCUUAAUUUAUUUCAUUCAUUCUCCGAUUGGGUUUCUCCGAUUUGCUAGUUGUUCGUCUUCGUUCUGGGUUUUAUACCUUUUUAUCUUUAGUUCCUAUUUUUUUCUUCUUUUCUUUGUUUUUGUUCCGGCUUUCUUUGUUCUGGCUUUCUUUGUUUUUGUUCCGGCUACUGAUUUUCUUUGUCCUCUGAUUUCUUCAUCUGCUUCUUUCUGGGUUUCUUGAGCAACUAAUUUCUGCUUCUUUCUGCGUUCCACUUCUGCUUCUUUCUGGGUUUCUUGAGCAACUAAUUUCUGCUUCGUUCUGGGUUUCAUGAGCAACUAAUUUCUGCUUCUUUCUGUGUUCCAUCACCUAUAUUCGAUCGUAUUCCGGUAGAUAAUUAACUGGUUAUUUUUUCGUCCGGAGUUCCGGCAUGAAUUGGGUUCAUUCGCCCAGAAUUGGGUUCAUGCGGCAGAUAAUUAACUGGAAUUAUAUUCAUUGUCAGAUUAUUGAUCUCGAGAUUAAUUUUUCCCAGCGUAUAACAAUACCAAUUUUGUUGAAAUGUUGGAAUUAAGAUAAUGUUGGAAUGAAAAUAAUGUUGGAAUGAAGAUGACGUUGGAAUGAAGAUACCGAAUGAGUCAUGGAUGAGAUAUUAUUUACGGUAUUUUUCUUAUUGAUACAAGUUUCAAAGAAGAUGGGCCUCAGGCCUAUUGAUUUUUUUAAAAUCAAAAAAGUAAUUCAAGAAGUAAAUCUAGAUAAACAAAUUACAUCAUGUAACCUUUGAUUUUCAAAGAUUUCUCAGAGGGAUGUAUUAAGAAGCUUUGUGUAGAAACUUAGAACUUUAGGAUUCGCUUUAAUUUUUUCUGGACUAAACCCAUCAACACGAAGAUCUUGAAUUGUGGUAACACGAGAUAGUGCGACGUAAACCAUUUCUGAUCCAAAUGCUCUAGUCAGGUCGGUACUAAGACGAUCAAAUAGCCUUAACUUCGUUUGCUUCGACAAUGUCCCAUUUUUCAACCUCCAGUGAAACUUCUAAUCCUGAAUCAAAUCUAACUAUGGGCACUAAACCAUUUACAUUGUUUUCAAAUGAUGGUAACGAACCUGUUUUAAAUCUUGUUACUACUCCGGUUGCGCCGUUGUCUAGUCCGAUUGCCUGAUCUGUGCUCUUGAUCAGCAUUACCCUAGCUCCCUCGCAGACUUCCAAUUCAUCAGGUGCUAUCUGAUAUUUCAAUUGUUUUAACCAUGGCAUUUAACCUUUAUCGACAGCUUUGAACCUCUCUACCUCUUUUCCUAGACUUCAAAGAUGUUCCUGGUUCACUUUUCGCACAUCAUCGGUUCUCGGAAAUAGUAUGGUUUUUGUUUGAUUAUCGUCAGUAACAUUGUUCAAUGAUGUGGUGCCAUUGAGGAAUCUUAUGAAGUUUGUGUUAUCCCGAUCGACCUGGCCACGACGGAUACCCUCAAGGAAAUCGAUGAGUUCGGAAUUCGACUGACGGUAGACAUGAGUUAAUUCCAUCUGGAUGUCAAAGGUAGCUUCCUAGCAAGAUGACUCAAAAGCAAACUCAUUUCGAGGAUUGUGAGCAUUGAUAGGAGGGAGUUGAAAAAAAUCACCACUCACUAUCAGUUGAAUACCUCCCCAUAGUAACUAUUUAUCUCCUUUGCAAUCUGAAUUUCUAAGAGUGCUUGACAGGAACUCAAGAUUAUCAAAGAGCUCUCCAUCGAUCAUACUGAUCUCGUCUAUAACAAGUGUCUUAGCUUGCUUCGGAUCCACAGUUCUACCGCUUUAUUACUUUUUAAGACGAAGUUGACAAGUUUAGUUUUGGUUCCUUUCCCUAACCCGACGCCUGCAAAUGAGUACAAAGUUUGUCCACCAAGUGCUCACGCUGCUACGCCGGUGGAGGCGGUCACGAAAACAGAGUUCGGAGGAUGAAUUUGUCGAAGCGUUGAAACAGCGUGCUUCAACAGGAAACUCUUACCAGUACCGACUGAACCUGUAAUAAAAACUGAUCGGCCGGCGGCGAUCGCUGCGAUUAUAUGUUGUUGCUGUAGACUCAGAUUUAUAUCGGAACCAAAGUUCACAGAGGAUCUCGGGACCUCUUCUUCAAGGAAAUAUUCUUCAACUCCAUCGCUGAUUGACAAUCGAAAUGGGUUCUUGAGGUAUAGGAAUGGGUUAUCGCUGACUGAUCGAAAUGACUUCUUGAGGUAUCGAAAUGGGUUAUCGAUUUUAAUAGCUCAUCUGAGUGUCGACAUUGGGGGAUCAAUAGGUGAUGACCAAAAAACCCCAAAAAGAUAGUAAUCGGAUAAGAUUUACUAAUCGGGCGAAUAAUUACAACCCGAUAAUGUGAAAAAAAUUUAAUCCCUAAUUUCAGAAUGCUAUUUAACCGAAAUAAAAUCGUCGAAACCCUAUUUUCGUUUAAUACUUACUUUCGAAUAGGUAUUGUCCGUGACAGGCGAUCUCGUAUCAGGGAUCUUGUAAAAGGCGAUCUCUUAUGGAUUAGUUCUCCUAUAACUCCGGGUUUUAUUCAUCCGUUUAAUUUUCAAAUUCUUUUUUAAUACAAUUCAUCGUUCUACGAUUUGUUCUCCGAUUUCCGGGUUGUUUGUCUUCGUUCUGGGUUUUAUACCUGUUUUUCUUGAGUUUCUGUUUUUUUUCGUUUGUCUUUGAUGUUGUUCGGCUUUCUUUGUCCUCGGUUUCUUUGUCCUGACUUUAGGCUGCAACUGCUUUUCUAUGUCGUUAGAUUUCUUCAUCUGCUUUCAUUUAUACUUCGGAGUAUAUUCGAUCGUAGUAAACAGAUAAUUAACUGGUUAUUUUUUCGUCCGGAGGAUUUACUAAUCGGUCGAAUAAUUACAACCCGAUAAUGUGAAAAAUAUUUAUCCCUAAUUUUAGAAUCAUAUUUGAAACCCUAUUUUCGUUUGAUCCUUACUUUCAAAUUGCUAUUGACCGUCACAAGAGAUUUCGUAACAGGCGGUCUUGUAAAAGGCGAUCUAUAAUGGAUUAGUUCUGGGAUUCCUCCGGGAUUUAUUCAUUUGUUUGAGUUUCAAAUUCUUUCUUACUUUAAUUCAUUCGUACUAAAGAUUUGUUCUACCAUUAAGUUUCUCCGAUUUGCGGGUUGUUUGUCUUCGUUCUGGGUUUUAUACCUUUUUAUCUUGAGUUUCUGUUUUUCUUUUCUUUGUUGUUGUUCCGGCUUUGUCUGUCCUGGCUUUCUUUGUCCGCGGCUUUUGGCUGCUACUGGUUUUCUUUCAUCUGCUUUCGUUUCCGCUUCUUCAUGCGUUUCAUUACGUAUUGAUUUAUUAACAACUGAUUUUUUCUAUCACGUAUGUUUCCUAAAAGUUAGUUAUAUUUUUUCAACAAUAUAUUAACUGUCGCCAUUUACAUCUUUCAAAACUUCUACUAUUUCUGCAGAUGACCAAUCUGGAAAUGGAAAGUUAUCAUGACUACAAGAGACAGAUCAAACAGUGUUCUGCAGGUGCCGUCAAAACGAGUUGUUGUUAAUCGUGAGGAUCUUCUUAAAAAAUGUGCAUAUUCUUUGAAAAAAAAACGAAAGAUUCUGCGCAUUAAUAAGAGGUUUAUUGCUAGAAUUACUCUCUCUAUUUAAUACACGUUAAUGGAUUUUACAUCUGUAAAACCAGUAUCAUGAUUCUAUAAAAAUCUGACAUUGGAUUUAAUAUUGUAUUAAAAUCUGAUGACACUCUGGCCGACAUUGAAUCGAUUUGACAAUAUGACAAGUUUAGUUUUAUAUUUUAUUAAUUUUUUACAUAUAUCUAGAAGAA
rnacentral:lncRNA from 1 species